rnacentral:rRNA from 1 species
GUAGGUGGCAAGCGUUGUCCGGAAUUAUUGGGCGUAAAGCGCGCGCAGGCGGUUCUUUAAGUCUGAUGUGAAAGCCCACGGCUCAACCGUGGAGGGUCAUUGGAAACUGGAGGACUUGAGUACAGAAGAGGAAAGCGGAAUUCCACGUGUAGCGGUGAAAUGCGUAGAGAUGUGGAGGAACACCAGUGGCGAAGGCGGCUUUCUGGUCUGUAACUGACGCUGAGGCGCGAAAGCGUGGGGAGCAAACAGGAUUAGAUACCCUGGUAGUCCACGCCGUAAACGAUGAGUGCUAAGUGUUAGGGGGUUUCCGCCCCCCUUAGUGCUGCAGCUAACGCAUUAAGCACUCCGCCUGGGAGUACGGCCGCAAGGCUG